rnacentral:lncRNA from 1 species
AGACAAAGCCAUAUAUGAUUGAAGGUUAUCAGUACUGUGCUUUUGGAGGAUUCAGAAGAAGUUAUAUCUGAUUGGGAGAUUGAAAAGGAUUGGCCUGAAGGAGAGGUGGUUUUUGAACUGCAUCUUAAAGGAUGAGGAAACUGAGGCUGAGAGGGUAGAGAACUUUGCCUGAGGUCACUCAGCAGGGACCCACCCAUCACAGUAAAUGCCAGCACUGCUGAUGCCAAAACAAUGUUAUUUGUAGGCCCUCGGAAUUUGUGACCUGAAGGAAGAAGAGCAGGGCCGUGGGAAGUAUGUAACCAGUGUCAUGCCCCUGGUCCCAAGGAAGCAGUGGCUUGGUAAAGAGGGGACCCCCGUCAAUAACUCCCUGUAAUUACUGGGCACCCACUCUGAGCUCCUCAGUGGAAUCCUAAGGUUAAUAAGACUGUCUCUAGCCACUGGGGCUCCCAGCCUGGAGUGAGGCCUGAACACCCUGUCCUACCUGGUCCUACCUGGAUGCUGGCCUCAGUAAGCUCCUGGGCUCAUUGAAGAUGAACCUAGCAGUAGUAUUUACACCACUUGUUGUGUGCCCACUGUGGGCCCGGCGCCAUGCCGAGUGCUCUAUGGAUGUGAGAGAAACGGAGGCCCAGAAAGCAGAAAUGAUGUGUUAAGAUCACUCAUCAAGCUGAUGGUACAGAGGUUAGAGCCUCUGCUCCCUGCUCUACCUCUUUCCCUUACUCCACAUCCAUGCCUGUCUCUUCCAAUGGGUCGGCAUCCACCCUGACACAUUAAAGCCAAAAGGAACCUUAAGCUAGGGAAGGGGCUCCAGAACUUUAGUGAAAGAUUCAAACAUGUCCACUCAACUCAAUGGAGAAAAUACAAUAUUCAAUCAA